AGUCCUUCGCCGUCCCUCGCCGUCCUUCGCCAUCGCACGCCACCGCACCCCAUCUCUCGAAAUCUGCAGACAUCUUGAUUUUUCCCACGCUGUCUGUCAGGUCUCCGCCGCCACUCGACGCCAGGGCGCCGGGUGAGUCCACAGCAGGGCGCAUGGUCGGCUCCACUCUCACCAUCGGGGGAAACUGAGGCCCCGGGGAAGGCGGCCAGAGAGGUCAGGCCCUGUCCUUGGUGCAGUGUCUCGUCCUCUUUGCCGGAGUGAGCCCCCCAGGAUUCGCGUGUCCUCGGGAAAGACACUGGCAGGCCUUGUGGGCUGUGCUGCACCUCGGACGGCUUCGCACCAGCCAGCGCCCUCUCUCUCCUGCAGCACUCUGAUCUGCACCCCCUGAGGGGCUUCCACUGUCCGCGGGGUGAGAAUGCCCCUGGGAGUGUCACAUGACUGCCGCCCCAUGUGUGUGAGAGGCGUCCUCUGGGAGAGCAUGGAUCCUGAGGUCCCAGGAACAUCCCGAGAGCCAAGUUCCCAGAUGCCAGCCAAGGGCCAUCUGACCUGUUUUGAAUCUCAAUUUCCUGAUACAGAAAACAAAGGAUUGUCAGCUGACCUCUGUCCUGUGUGCCCAGUGGCCCCAGGUGACGUGUCUUCAAGAAGAGGCUGAGCUGCGGUGCUUGUAAGGCAGGGUCUCAUUCUGUCACCCAGGCUGGAGUGCAGUGGUGCAAUGAUGGCUCACUGCAGCCUCGACCUGGGCUCAAGUGAUCCUCCACCUCAGCUUCCUGAGUAGCUGGGACCACAGAGUCAUGUGCUGUUCCUGGGGCUUGGAUGAUGUAGGGGAAGCAAGGUGAAAGUGGUAUCCCGUGGUUCCACGUUCUGUCCUGCUGUGGGGCUGUCCCUCACAUGCUUUCAGUGGCUGUUGCAGAGGAAGAGCCUCCGGAAAUCUGCGUGGGUCUCAGCCUUAGAUCCAAGGACAGUCCAAGGAAGUCCUAAGACCAUGGAGUUGGUGAUCUGGGAUCUGGGUUUGCUGAUAUUUCUCACCGUGAAUCUCUUGGUGGUGUUUGUGGGCACGAGAGGGGCAGAGAAUGGAGAGUGAGGCUACCACAUGAAGCGUCACCAGAGCUGCUCCCUGCUGCCUGCUCAGAGCACCCCGGAUCCACUGUUCAAUCUGCACAAGAUUCGGGGUCCAGACAUGGGAGACUUCAGCUGCCUCAGAGGACCGUGGACAGGGAAGGCCAGCCUCGCAUCCCUCUGUCCAUGCCUGGAAUGACUUUAAUAACCAAGAGUUUUAUUUUUGAAUUUGUAGCUGUCGUUCACUUUUUACCCACCCAUUCAAUAAACCUUACAGAAUUGCUCCA
rnacentral:lncRNA from 1 species